rnacentral:rRNA from 1 species
UAUCCAUAGUCGUCCGUACCGCAAACCGACACAGGUAGAUGAGAUGAGUAUUCUAAGGCGCGUGAAAGAACUCUGGUUAAGGAACUCUGCAAACUAGCACCGUAAGUUCGCGAUAAGGUGUGCCGCAGCAAUGCGGUCUCAGCAAAGAGUCCCUCCCGACUGUUUACCAAAAACACAGCACUUUGCCAACUCGUAAGAGGAAGUAUAAGGUGUGACGCCUGCCCGGUGCUCGAAGGUUAAGAGGAUGCGUCAGUCGCAAGAUGAAGCGUUGAAUUGAAGCCCGAGUAAACGGCGGCCGUAACUAUAACGGUCCUAAGGUAGCGAAAUUCCUUGUCGGUUAAAUACCGACCUGCAUGAAUGGCGUAACGAGAUGGGAGCUGUCUCAACCAGAGAUUCAGUGAAAUUGUAGUGGAGGUGAAAAUUCCUCCUACCCGCGGCAAGACGGAAAGACCCCGUGGACCUUUACUACAACUUAGCACUGCUAAUGGGAAUAUCAUGCGCAGGAUAGGUGGGAGGCUUUGAAGUAAGGGCUUUGGCUCUUUAUGGAGA